rnacentral:rRNA from 1 species
AUGGAGGCCAAGCAGGAGGAGCCUCGGAGCCUCAGCGUUGAUCACGAGUCACUCAAAGACACCAAGAAGAGGAAGGGGGGAUGGAUCACCUUCCCUUUCCUCGCAGUGGCCAUACUGGGUCUCGGGUUGGCCACCAGCGGCGCGACGGCCAACCUGGUGGUCUACCUGAUAAAGGAGUACAACGUGCCGAGCGUCGACGCGGCGCAGAUCUCCAACAUCAUCUCCGGCUCCAUCAGCGUCGCACCCGUGGCCGGCGCCAUAGUCGCUGACGCCUUCUUCGGCUGCUUCCCCAUCGUCGCCGUCGCCAUGGUCAUGGCCGUCCUGUCCUUGGUCGUGUUCACGCUGACGGCGAGCCUUCCGGGCCUCCGGCCGGCGGCGUGCCAGCUCGGGGCCGGCCCGUGCGAGAAGGCGUCGACGGGGCAGAUGGCGGCGCUGUACGCGGCCGUGUUCCUGCUCUGCCUGAGCGCGGCGGGGGCGCGGUUCAACCAGGCGACCAUGGGCGCCAACCAGUUCGAGGCCGCCGCCGACCGCGACGUCUUCUUCAACUGGUACUUCAUCUUCUUCUACGCGUCCACCGUGCUCGGCGCCACGGUCAUCGUCUACGUCCAGGACACGGUGUCCUGGACGCUCGGCUUCGGCGUCUCCUGCGCCGCCAGCGUCGUCGGCCUCGCGGCGUUGCUCCUCGGCGCCAGGCACUACCGGCAGCCCCCCGCCCAGGGCAGCCCGUUCACGGGGCUGGCCAGGGUGGUCGUCGCCGCGGCCAGGAAGAGGAAGGUCAGUGUCGUGGCGUCGGAGGAGUUGAAGUUUUACUACGGGCUACGUAGCGGCGACCAUGUCGUUACCCCGAGCGACAGCUUUAGCUUCCUGAACCGUGCCGCGGUCAUCACGGACGGCGACGUGGACGGGGCUAGCGGCUCGGUGCUCCGGCCGUGGCGCGUGUGCACGGUGCAGCAGGUGGAGGAGUUGAAGACGGUGCUGCGGAUCAUGCCGCUGUGGAGCGCGGCCAUCGUGCUGAGCGUCGCCAUCGGCGUGCAGAUCAACUUCACCAUCCUGCAGGCGCUGGCCAUGGACCGCGCCGUGGGCCGGUUCACCGUGCCGGCGGGCUCCAUGUUCGUGGGCAGCCUCAUGGCCGUGGUCAUCUUCCUCGGGCUCCUCGACCGGGUCCUGCUCCCGCUCUGGAGGCGGGUGACCGACCACACGCCGACGCCGCUGCAGUGCGUGGGCGCGGGCCACGCGCUGACCGUUGUGAGCAUGGCCGCGUCCGCCGUCAUCGAGCGCCACCGCACCGCCACGGUGCGCGCGCACGGGGAGGAGGGUAACCCCGCGUGGGUGUCGCCGCUGUCGGCCAUGUGGCUGCUCCUGCCGUUCGCCGUGGCCGGGGCCGGGGAGGCGCUGCACUUCCCGGCGCAGGUGACGCUGUACUACCAGGAGUUCCCGCCGUCGCUCAAGAACACGGCCACGGGCAUGAUGGCCAUGAUCGUGGCGCUGGGGUUCUACCUGAGCACCGCCCUCAUCAACGUCGUCCAGCGCGCCACCACCUGGCUGCCGGACAACAUGAACGCGUCCAGGCUGGAGAACCUCUACUGGCUGCUCACCGUGCUCGUCGCCGUCAACUUGGGCUACUUCCUUACGUGCGCCAAGCUGUACAGGUACCAGAACAUCGGCAAGUAG